rnacentral:misc_RNA from 1 species
UCUUGCUUUCUGCAUCGUGCAGUGUCGGUAGAACGAAAAUGCAGUCGCGCUGAUUGCAAGUGUGAGAAUGGAUGAUUCUAGACAAAACCAUCCCGAAGUGAUGCCCCAAUCAUAAGCCAAGUAUCCCAAAGGAAUGAGAUACAGACAGUUUCUUAAGGCCACUGCGGCAGUUCUCUGACCAGAAGCAUCAGUAAGAGAGUACAUUUUGUACCCUCCAG